GAAAAGGUAGCUAAAUUAUAUUAAUUUAAUUUUAUAAUAAUAAUGAAUUGAUGACAUAUUACAAUACACAUAAAAAUCAAGAACUUCUCAACAACUAAAAAACAGUGGUAGGUGCAUCUCAUCCUUAUCUUCUCAUCUUUUCCAACACAAUUCUCCUCAUUUUUUAAACGUUUCUUUCACAUUAUUCUCUUUCUCACACUUUUUAUUUAUUUUUAUAAUAAAAAUAAAUAAAAUGGUUAAAUGAUUAUUUUGUAUCUGAAU
rnacentral:lncRNA from 1 species